GGGAGAGUAUUUUUUCCUACUCUAUUGAAUUUUUUUUUUUUUUUUGGCCUCUCCCUAGCUUCGAUCCUUAGCACCAGGAGAGUAUCACCAGGUUAUGAAGAAUCUCCAGGCCCAUUAUGAAGACUUUCUACAGGAUAGUCGUGACUCUGCACUCUUCUCAGUGGCUGAUCGAUUGCGCUUGGAAGAGGAGGUGGAAGCUUGUAAAGCCCACUUCCAGCACCUGAUGAAAUCCAUGGAGAAUGAGGACAAAGAAGAGAAUGUGGCCAGGGUAUACAUCUCAGAGCUGAAGAAUAUCCGACUACGCCUGGAGGAGUGUGAACAGAGACUGGUCAAACGAAUUCAGUCUCCAGCUAGCUCUAGAUCUGACAGAGAUGUGAGGCAGGAUAUCACAUUAAGGAUUGCAGAGCAAGAGCAUACUCAGGAGGAUUUGCAGCACCUGAGGUCUGACCUGGAUUCUGUUUCCAUGAAAUGCAACAUCUUUCUUCAGCAGUCUCCAUCAGGUUCCAGUGCUCCAACUCUUCGCUCAGAGCUGAACCUGCUGGUAGAAAAGAUGGACCACGUCUAUGGUCUGUCUACUAUCUACCUGAAUAAGUGAGUAAGCCUAAGCCUUGGGUUCAAAGAGCAGUUUUUCUCUUGAGAUAAUACAGGAAAUUACCUUGAGUGUUCAUAACUGAUCCAAAGGACCACAGCUCUAUACUGAGAAGUCUCAGCUGUAGGUCCUUAAUAACACAACAUGGGCUUAUUUGGAUUACAGUAUGUCAGUGAUAGGGAUGAUGGAUAGAUUUGCAUUGUUAGGUCUGUUCCUUACCUCAUUUCUGUUUGAUUAGAUACCUCUGGAAAUAACACUUAGAAAUAGUAAGAGAAAGGGAGAGAAACUAAAGAAUUAAAACUUUAGCUAAGCCAGAUAAUGGAGUAUUUGACGAUCUCCUGCUUACCCAUCUCCACUCCUGAACUCGAGGUGCCUUCUUGCCACAAUAUGUGGUAUGUCCCAGUACCACUUUGAAUUUCACUCUGAACUAGCUUAAA
rnacentral:lncRNA from 1 species